GGCUCAGGAUGAACGCUAGCUACAGGCUUAACACAUGCAAGUCGAGGGGCAGCAUAAUCGAAGCUUGCUUUGAUUGAUGGCGACCGGCGCACGGGUGAGUAACGCGUAUCCAACCUUCCCCUUAGUAGGGCAUAGCCCGGCGAAAGUCGGAUUAAUACCCUAUGUUAUCCGUCGAGGACAUCUGAAAUGGAUUAAAGAUUUAUCGCUAAGGGAUGGGGAUGCGUCUGAUUAGGUUGUUGGCGGGGUAACGGCCCACCAAGCCUACGAUCAGUAGGGGUUCUGAGAGGAAGGUCCCCCACAUUGGUACUGAGACACGGACCAAACUCCUACGGGAGGCAGCAGUGAGGAAUAUUGGUCAAUGGGCGAGAGCCUGAACCAGCCAAGUAGCGUGCAGGAUGACGGCCCUAUGGGUUGUAAACUGCUUUUGCAUGGGAAUAAAGUCGGGGACGUGUCCCCGUUUGUAUGUACCAUGAGAAUAAGGACCGGCUAAUUCCGUGCCAGCAGCCGCGGUAAUACGGAAGGUCCGGGCGUUAUCCGGAUUUAUUGGGUUUAAAGGGAGCGCAGGCUGCCUGUUAAGCGUGACGUGAAAUGCCGCGGCUCAACCGUGGAAGUGCGUCGCGAACUGGCGGGCUUGAGUGUGCACGAGGAAGGCGGAAUUCGUGGUGUAGCGGUGAAAUGCUUAGAUAUCACGAAGAACUCCGAUUGCGAAGGCAGCCUUCCAGGGCAUAC
rnacentral:rRNA from 1 species